rnacentral:lncRNA from 9 species
GGCUCGGAACGAGAGGCACCUGCCCGUCCGCCAGCCUCAAAACAGCGCGCGGUGCCGCUCCCGGGAUACCUGGGUUCCCGCUGGUCCUGCCACGACCCCCGGGGCGCUCCUCGCUUCGGCCUUAUUAGGAGGCGGCCCCCGCAGGGAGCAGGAAGCAUAAAGUCUCUGCAAACCCUUCCAGAGGGCGGACGACGGUGGAGUGCUGAAUUAUACCCAUAUGGCCAACAGAUGGGACCCUGGGCUGCAGGAGCUGUAGGCCCCCCCGGGAGAACCUCUCUUCUCUGCCCUGCGCGGGCUCUUGAGGACCGUGGUCAAAGGAGCCCAAGUCUUGCAUCGCGGCAUCCUGACACACACUCAUUGGCCCCAUGAAGUCGGGGGCGCUGAUUGAGAAGCGUUAUGAUGAGGUCACUGCCAGCCGUGAAUGCGCUCUCUGCGUGCCAGGAACGACCGCAUCCUGUUCCACGUCCUGGAACUGCUGGGCUCAGGUGUGCAGCCCCGUGGCCAGAAUAAUGCCGCCCCACAAAGAAGUUGGCUCCCAUCCUUCCUCUGCUGACGGAGUCGUUUGGGGCUGGAUGUGCUCAGGGAGAGGUCAUAAGGUAAGAUAGGAGGUGGGCGAGCAGCCCUGCUGUAUGAAACCUCAACUUUCCACAUCCUGCUCCUCUUCAAGGCCAGCUCUGGGCCAGCACCUCGGGGACCCUGGGCCCCUCUGGUCCACAGGGUGAGCUCCCUUCAGAGACACAGCACCGGCCAUGCAGGGCUGGGUACCUGGCAGAUGUGGCAUUGGGAUUCUCCUUUCAUGUGCGACCCCAGGAUGGAAGGGCUGCCAGCGCGUACCGAGGAAGUAUUUCUCAUCUCUGUAAAGUUGAUAGAAUCUAAUUCUUAGUGGAGAAACUUGCUGCGGUGUUAGUUUGUGUAACUGCCCCUGUUUAACUGGGUUUAGGCUAAUCCCAAUCCCAAGAGCAGUUAAUCAGUUAUCUACGAUGGUGUGGAGGCACAAUUUGUGCAUUAAAGGGCAAAAGCACACUGUUCAGGUGGGCUGGCCCUUGGGAGCCCUCCUGAGAUAUUUCACAGCGGGUAUGAUAGUGGGGAGGACAUAUUUGUUUCACCUGCUUAAAAUGUUUUCAGACCAAUAACCUUGUGGCCAUUCUCUGUGUUAGAUCCAAUUUCAAGCUCUUUUCUUCUGGAGCAUCUUGGUCGUCCACUGCGCUCCUUUAGUCUACUUCUGCAGUGAGUGGGGUAUGUGUGUCCUUUCCUGCACUGGAACAUUUAUAAAUGUAGCAAGCCUUCCUCUGCUUUGGCUGCUGACUAAAUCCUAUGACUCUACACCUAACAACCUCAUAAUAGGGAGGCCUCGUCGUUGUGCAGGUUGCACACUGCACAACUCCAAGAAUGCAUUUACAUGGACCACAAUGGAACCUCCAGAGCUGUAUUAGAACGACCUGCACAAUACUCCAGUAAAAGCCCCAUCUCAUAAAUUUCUCUACAUGCCAAGGGCUCUCUUCUAAUACCACCCUGACAAAACAGACAAAAUCCUACCCCCAGGAAGCUACAUUCUAGUGGGGGAAAUACAUAAUAAACAAAUUACAGAUCCUAGUGUAAUUAUGUCACACUAUAUAUUCAUUGUACAUAAAUACAUAUGUGCUAUGUAAUAUAAUGUAAGAAUUAUGUAAAUUAUAAUGGAUAAAGUAGAAAUAAAUCAGGGAAGGGAGAGAGUGGCGGAGGUGAAUUUUAGAGGCGAGAUCUGGGAAGCUUUCUGAGAGAGCCAUUUGGCGAGCCUGAGUGAGGAUGUGCUGUGUUCCCGGGGGAAGGACACUCCACACAGAAGGACAGCACGUGCAAGCCCUGGGCAGGAGUGUGACCAGUGCGAAGAAGCGGCAGGGAGGCUGGUGUGCUACAAUGGGGGCAGAGGAUAGUUGUGGUCAGAUGGAUCCGAGCAGGCCACCAGGCUUUGGAGGCGUGAUGUACUUGGAGCUUACUCUGCAUCCGAUGAGAGCGUCCAAGGUUUUGAGUAGGGAGUGGCAAAUUUCAAAAAAUCACCCUGACCACAAGUUGAGAUCAGACAACGGAUACAGAGGAGGAAGCAGGAGACUAAUUAGGAGCAACUGGGGGGAUUCCGAGGUGCGUGCCCUGAGCCAGCUUGGUGGUGGGAGCCAGCUUGGUGGUGGGGUCAAGUUAGGGAGGUGGGCAGGGGCAGGGCGUCCAGGUUGAGUCUUGCCUCCACGUUGCAGGAACUUGGGUUUGAUUUCCCAGCAGGGGGGCUGAGAUUUAUCCUGACUGCCAAGUGCAGCAGGGCUACGGCAUGAGGGGUGUCCCGGGCAUGGGGAACAAGAUGCUGGGAGGCUGGACCAGGACAGAAAUGGUGCAAGUGGGAGAUUUGCUCGGUUGUGCUCUGAGGCCUGCUGACAGACUGAGGAAGCAAGAGGAAAGUCAAGGCGGACUCCUGGGUUGUGGCUUGAGCACGGAAUGGAUGUUGGUUCUGUAUGAAAGUGGAAAACUGGAAGAGAACCAGCCAGGUUUGGGGAGAAACAAGGGGUUCCACUACGACCAAUGACAUAAGACGAUGUUAAAUGGGAGAUGCUAUUAGUCACUUGGCGUUCUGUGUGUAACUCAAAGGAAGUCACACAUUUCAAUUACUAUUUGUCGAAUGAGUAAGUGGUGCAGCCCUUCUGGAUGGGGGCCAGACUGGAGUCAAAGAUGCAAUUCGAGUGAUGAUGCUAAACACACCCCAGGGGAAGCUGCCACCCUGUUACUGUCACGGUCGUUUCAGCAUUGGCAGAGGAGCUGGGUGGAACGAAGAUUCUCUGCUAUGGCAAAGGGUCUGCGUGGAGGAGAGACGGCAGGACCUGUGCCCAGGCCGGGAUUGAACCAAUCCUCGUGAGUACCAUCCAUGUGAUUGUUUCCGCUGCACCACAGCAGGAACUCCUAUCUGUCUUUUAAUUUAGCCUCCCAGUGUAUGUGAAGUGGUAUCUCAUGGCAGUUUUGAUUUGUGUUGUCUUAUGACUAUGAGGUUUGCUUCUGUCAUUUCAGCCUCUGAGGAGUGGGGUCCCCAGACCAGGACAUGAUGGUAAUUAGAAUAGUGCUGUCGACGCUUCCCUUCAAGCUAAAGAGGUGCAGGUUUAUCAGAGUAGGAGCCAACAGGAGCUCUUUCGCAACACGUGUGGUUUUUGCUGAAGCUGGCAGUGGAAGUGAACACUCCCAAAACAGUUUAAAAAUUAUUUUCACACACUAAACAGUAGCUGAAGAAAAAAUAAACUAAUGUGGAUAAAAGAGAAACUCUACCGGAAGAGAUUUUAUUAUUUAAAUACUUUCUAGGAUGAUAUUUAUUUGCAGGGAAACCCACUCCCCAACUCCCUCCUGCGCUGGGCGAAUGGCACCACUGCGUGGACAAAGACUGCCUAUCACCUGCCAUUUCAGAAAACAAAACAUGCCAUGGCCAUCGAGCCAUCAGCCACAGCAGCCGACCCAGACGGGACACCCUGAGGGGAAUUUAGGAUGGAGAAAAGCAGGACACUGGCCCUAAAUAUUAGGAUGCAUAUCGAAGGCUUAGUUUCAGGAGCCCAGACUCUUGCAUCGCCCCAAGCAUAGAAAGCACUAAAAUCAUUAACGUCAGACGUCUGAUUUCUUUUAAUUAGUGAUAAUCUUUGAGGUUUGACAACAUUUUUUCAUUUGUUUUGUUUUUCAGCAAAAGCUCAUAUAAGCCUUAGCUUGUUGCAAGAGUCCUUCGAUGUUUCCAUGAGGCUGUAUCCCAGGCUCUAGUCCUCAGAGAUUCCCCAGAUAAAACACAGUUCUCAACUCUGAGGUUGGGCAUUUUUUCUUUUCCGUCGACACCCAGGACAUCCACUGGUCCUGUACUAUCCGAGAGAAACAGGCACUUUCUUAGAUCUGGGAGUUAAACUUCCUUCAGAGACAUCUCAUGGCAACUACCUCACGCACGGACUGUUUCCUGCCUGCUGGGGUUUUAUUGGGAGCCCUCUGUUGCACAAUCACAAGAAUUUCAGUGUUCCCAGCCUGCAGUUCUGGAUUAGAGGGUGCAGUUCUGGGAUUAGAGGGCUAAGUUCCUGGGGCCCUGGAAGGAAAAUCUAGCACUAGGAUUCUCUAAAGCCUAAACUUGAUGGGAAAUGGGUUUGAUGUUCACUUAGUGUGCAAACCAGGAAUUCCCUAAAAAUGACAUUGCGAGUCUAGUGGGAAUCCUACCAACAUGUUCGGGGAGGUUCCAGAACUUUCAUCAUUGUUUGGGAAAUGGGAUUCCAAUCUUGAAUGCCUCCUUCCCAGGGUCAUUCUUUCAUCCUGUAUCAUGAUGCCUGACUCUGCUUUUUAGAGCUUAUAGCAGGAGACAUCUCCCACCACGGCAGAUUUUUAAAAAAGAAGUUUGCAGUUGUUUACACAUACCCUGUUCUCUGGGGAACUUGGGUCAGGAUCCGAUUGUAGACCAGUUUUGUGCUCUGGGAGCAGCCAGCUGGAGAGACAGUUAAAGAGAGAGAGGAGAAGCAGCAGCUAAAGGCAGGCUUUGUACAUUUUGUAAACAGUCUGGCUCUAUCACCUACAGCCCAUGUGGUCUGGGGCAAAUGACUUCUAAGAACCUCCAUUUCCUCCUCUGAAAAACCAAGGUAAGGCUGCUUACUCACCACAAAAGGCUGAUAUGAGGCAUAUAUAAACCACCAAGAGAGCACUUGUGCUCAGCGAUACCGAAGAGGCUAUGGUUGUUUUUGCUCUUCCUCCAGCAGCGAGUGGAAUGCGCCUCUCCUUGUCUCAUCUGCCUCCUCCCAGACCCCCACCCCAAAACCCAGGGGAGAACUCCGGGCAUCCAGAAGUGUUCCAGAACACUGUUCUUAGGUGAAACAAUUCAGGUUUCCAGUUGAAUAAAAGACAAUAGAUGAGUGGAUUUGGUCAUGAAACAGAUAUGUACAGAGACCCUGUUAAUGUUCCAGACUGUUCUAGGCACAGAAGAAACAGCUGUGAAUGAAACAGACAAGAAUCCAUGCCUCAUGGAGCUUCUCUGCUAGAAAGGAGAGAGAGACUCUAAAUAAAGAAAUCGCGGAAAUGGACGGUAACUGGAGGAAGGGCUAUGCCAAAAAUAAAUCGAGGAAGGAGAAGGCCAGUGGAAGGGGACAGGGAGGCCAGAGAUGAGUCAGGGAGGUCGUCUUCUUUUUUAAAGAUUCUUAACAUUUAUUGAAGCGUAACGUACACACAGAAAAGUAUGCGUGUCAGAGUUCCCGUCGUGGCUCAGCGGUUAACAAAUCCGACUAGGAACCAUGAGGUUGUGGGUUCGAUCCCUGGCCUUGCUCAGUGGGUUGAUGAUCCGGCAUUGCCGUGAGCUCUGGUGUAGGUUGCAGACGCGGCUCGGAUCCUGCUUGCUGUGGCUAUGGUGUAGGCCAGUGGCUACAACUCCGACUCGACCCCUAGCCUGGGAAUCUCCAUAUGCCUCUGGUGCGGCCCUAGAAAAGGCAAAAAGACGAAAAA